GGCGGGGGGGGGGGGGCACCAUAAAGCAUUUGUGCUUAGGGCACCCAAAUGGCUAGCAACGGCCCUGGAAGUCAAAACUCGAGCUGUCGAGAGAUGAGGAGGAGGAGGGGCCAGACAGGAGAGCAAGAAGGUGAAAGUUCAAAGGAGGACAUGCCGGCUUUGAGGAGCCUGAGUACGGGCAAAGUGACGAUGCCCAAAGUCCAUCUUGGAUAAGAAGCAUUACCUGAUAUGUCUUCCUCUGAGCUUUCAACUUCCUGCUCUGAUGUCUGGCCUUCCUCCACCUCAUCCCCCGACAGCAAUAAGACUGACUCCCCUUCCACGGUUUGAAGUAAAAUCCCUCCUGCCUCAUCCUGCCUCCUGCUUCCUGAAGUACGGCUCAAAAUCUGAAAAUGUAUCAUUGUGUCAGCAAGUGACUGUUUCCAGAAGGGACUGCUUCCAGGCUGGAGUGGAAUUACUAGUUCUGGGGAAAUCGAAGCUUUGUGAAACACUCAAACCUUUGAAGCAUUUGUGCCACAACUGUAUCAAGGCUUCAAAACCAUCUGAAACCCAUCUCCACAGUGACAUCUGCUGGCUAGUUUGGCUAUCACUACAUCUUGAUAAUGCUUUCUGUGAAACAGUGAUGCAGACAAUAAUUGUGAUCACAUGUUACAACCAAGGAAAGGAAAAUAAUGAGACUGUUAACUGUAAUGAUAACUGUGCUAUCAUCUAGUGUUGCUCACAAUAAAUCAAUGUAUGAAGUAAACUGUCCAGAGAAAAAAAACUGCUGUGUUUACUUUACUAACCACACAGCUGUGUUUGGCCUAAGUCAGCUUCGUUUUUCGAUCACAGCACUGAAACUUUGGAUGCUGGACUUACAUUUUCUGGGAGUUUGUGUCAUCAGGUUUGUUCUACACACUGUCAAGCAAAGCUAGAAGCUGGCAUAGCUUUAGGUUUGAUUUGUAAUCAGCCUAAAAACCAUGAAGAAACUUUCCUGAACUUGACACUGGUGUAACACUUGCAUGAUGUUUUACUGUGAGUCUGGAGUUUUGGUCAUAGUGAACCUGCAUAACUCCUGUUGUUUUUGCGAUAUUAAC
ensembl:lncRNA